rnacentral:rRNA from 1 species
UAACGCGAAGAACCUUACCCACUCUUGACAUCCAGAGAACUUAGCAGAGAUACUUUGGUGCCUUCGGGAACUCUGAGACAGGUGCUGCAUGGCUGUCGUCAGCUCGUGUUGUGUAAUGUUGGGUUAAGUCCCGCAACGAGCGCAACCCUUAUCCUUUGUUGCCAGCGGUUAGGCCGGGAACUCAAAGGAGACUGCCAGUGAUAAACUGGAGGAAGGUGGGGAUGACGUCAAGUCAUCAUGGCCCUUACGAGUAGGGCUACACACGUGCUACAAUGGCAUGUACAAAGAGAAGCGACCUCGCGAGAGCAAGCGGACCUCAUAAAGUAUGUCGUAGUCCGGAUUGGAGUCUGCAACUCGACUCCAUGAAGUCGGAAUCGCUAGUAAUCGUGGAUCAGAAUGCCACGGUGAAUACGUUCCCGGGCCUUGUACACACCG